GGUGUCUGAUAACAAUAGAAGAUACAGGACAGAUAUAUAACAGGAGUUAAAGGAGAGGUGUCUGAUAACAAUAGAAGGUACAGGACAGAUAUAUAACAGGAGUUAAAGGAGAGGUGUCUGAUAACAAUAGAAGAUACAGGACAGAUAUAUAACAGGAGUUAAAGGAGAGGUGUCUGAUAACAAUAGAAGGUACAGGACAGAUAUAUAACAGGAGUUAAAGGAGAGGUGUCUGAUAACAAUAGAAGAUACAGGACAGAUAUAUAACAGGAGUUAAAGGAGAGGUGUCUGAUAACAAUAGAAGAUACAGGACAGAUAUAUAACAGGAGUUAAAGGAGAGGUGUCUGAUAACAAUAGAAGGUACAGGACAGAUAUAUAACAACAGGAGUUAAAGGAGAGGUUUAUUUUAGUCAUUUAGCAGACGCUCUUAUCCAGAGCAACUUACAGUAGUGAAUACAUACAUUUCAUCCUUUUUUUUCUUUUUUUUUUUGUGUGCAGGCCCCCCGUGGGAAUCGAACCCACAACCCUGGUGUUGCACACACCAUGCUCUACCAACUGAGCUACAGGGAAGGCUGUAGUGUGUCUGAUAACAAUAGAAGAUACAGGACAGAUAUAUAACAGGAGUGUUUAGUGAAACUGGCAGGCUGUUAACAUCACUUUGUCACGGUCCGGACACCUCCUGGCUCUUCCUGACACUCAGCCUGAAUCUUCAUGGCUUCCAUUAACAUUAAUUAGAGAGGGGAAUUAUAAUUUACUCCAUGUGACAGAGAAAACUAAAAUGCUCAAAGUUAAAAAGUCUCCUCUUCUGGAAUGAUAACAUGCUAGUGAUCAUGGAGCAGAGAUAAACUGGAGAUAUUGUGAGAUGUUACAGGAGUUGUGUGGGGUAGUGCUGAUGUUAAACUGCUGCUCUUAAGGACACACAUGCACUUGACAGGUAAUUCUCCAAACUCAAAACACACUGAAAAUAAUCAAAGACAGAUCCUCGCUCUUGUAACCCAUCUGACAAAAACAAAAGCACCAAGUCUCUCCUGAAUAUUUGGCUGACAAUUCAGACCGUUCCAAAGUGUUUUGGUUUUUUAGUGGAUGUUUAGAUCAUUUAGAACGUUUAGAAAGUUUAGGGGUCGUUCGACGAAUUGGGUUCCUUUUGAAAAGUGUAAAAUAAAUAAAUAAUUGUUUCACCUAAUUUUAACAUUCUGUCAUUCAUUAACAUUCUGUUAAUAAAAAAAUUAAAAUAAAAACACAUUAACCCAUCUCAAGAGGUUAAAGAAAAAAAAACUAAGCUAACAUAUGGAAUUGUUUUAAGAUGUUCAUACAAUGGAUGAUUUAGCUAUUUCAUUUUGAAUUUUAGGACCCCUUUAGGUAUCGAAAUGAAAUAUUUACUACUAUAGCCCAUAGAAAUGUAUUGAAUUACGCAUUCAUAAAUGGAAAAAAAGACAGUCCAAAAAUAAAUCAUAAGGAAUAAGGUUUUGAAGUGUCUGUCCCAUGUCUAGGAGAUAUAAGAAAGCUCAGGACAUAUUUAACCCCUUACUUUUGUGGCCACAAAAGUAUCUCCAUACUUCCAUUGGUUUGUAUGGGUUACCUUUAGAGUCUCCCCUUCCAUAGAGAAGUCAUGUAUGGGUUACCUUCAGGGUCUCCCCUUUCCAUAGAGAAG
rnacentral:lncRNA from 1 species